rnacentral:rRNA from 1 species
GACGAACGCUGGCGGCGUGCCUAACACAUGCAAGUCGAACGAGGUCCAUCCAGUGGCAACACCGGUGAAGACCUAGUGGCGAACGGGUGAGUAACACGUGAGGAACCUGCCCCGAAGACCGGGAUAACCCUCCGAAAGGAGAGCUAAUACCGGAUGUCCCCACCUGGCCGCAUGACCGGGUGAGGAAAUGGAUUCCGCUUCGGGAGGGCCUCGCGGCCUAUCAGCUUGUUGGUGGGGUAACGGCCCACCAAGGCAUCGACGGGUAGCUGGUCGUGGAGGACGAUCAGCCACACUGGGACUGAGACACGGCCCAGACUCCUAAGGGAGGCAGCAGUGGGGAAUCUUAGACAAUGGGGGAAACCCUGAUCUAGCCAUGCCGCGUGAUCGAUGAAGGCCUUAGGGUUGUAAAGAUCUUUCAGUGGGGAAGAUAAUGACUGUACCCACAGAAGAGGCCCCGGCUAACUCCGUGCCAGCCGCCGCCGUAAGAC